AAGGAUUAGAAGUUUUAAGAUAUGUGAAAAUGGUUGAACCAUCUACAAGAACUCUAAAAAUCCAAAGAAGAAAUGUAGAUGAGGAAAAUCAAGUGGACUAUUACACUGAAAUAAGACUCACUAUUGAUGAUGAUAAAGAUAGAUAAAAAAUGGAAUAAUGAGAAAAAUAACUGGAAACACUAAGGACCGUAAAAUGCAAUGGAUGAUCCAGCAGUAUACAAGUUUGGGAGCGUGAUGUUAGAAAUUUGUAAAAACUUGAGAAUGGAAGAUUUGGGGACAAUCUUCAAAUAUAUUAAAUAAAUUCCCUCAAUGUUGUCAAGAUGGAAAUGUUCCUCUGGGAUCACUGUCUGUAACAGCCACUGAAUAACAAAAUCAUUGUGUAUACAUGUGAAGAAAAUAACCUGCAGAGUGCAUACUAAAGAACAUAGCUUAGCAAUGACUUUCACAUCACAGGAUACAAAGAUAAAGUCACCAUCUGGAAAUGGUUCAAGCUACUUUCAAAUAUUUGGCCAGAAAAACAAAUGCAUCAAUAUUUUAUUAAUAGCUAUUAAGCCUUGCUUAAUGCAUAUGUUAUGUAGCAUAUGGGCAAAGUUAUUACUAAUUCCCAUAUAAAGACAUGAAAACUCUAAUACGUGUUUGGCAGAGCCACUAACCUUCUAGGAUCCCACAUUCUGGGAUCCUGACCCAGCCAGUGGUAGCCUCCGAGUAAGAAGAGCAGGAAGAGGAAUAGCUGGACUUGCAGCACAAGUCAUACAAAAUUUUAAAAUUUUUUCCUAGGGUUUUUUCCGCCCUCAUUUGGCUUCAGAAUCAAGACUGAGUUUGUGCAUCCAGUUUUAGAUGGAACAUUGAAAAACUUGCAGAUAUAUGAGGCAGUGGGGGAAGCAACAAGGAUUAUGGCUAAUCUAGUGACUAAGUCCUAGGAGGGAAGGUUGAAGAAGCUGGAUUCAACACUCAAUAGAGUGAUGGUACUCCUCCAAUAUGCCAGGGACUGAACCAUGCUCUGGGGAGAUGGUGAUGAUGCUACAAAGGAUAUCGGCAUGUGUGUGACAUUUUUUUGUCUUCCAUUGAAUUGCUGAGCACAUUCCUGAGAGUGUGUUUACUGGUUCACAGAACAGGAACACAUUACAACCCUUUCUGUGUAAUAUCAGACUGCCCUGCAAAGGCCCAUACUGAUUGAAGAUGGCACCAACAGGAAAUGAGGGUGGCAUUGUCACCUCCAAUUUGGGCAGAAAAAAAGCACUGUUGAUGCUUAGCAUCCACAUAUCAGUGAGAACAUUCACAAUUGCAAAAUCGUGGACCAAUCCAAAUGCCCAUCAAUCAAUGAGUGGAUAAAGGCACUGUAAUAUAUAUGUACAAUGGGAUACUACUCAGCUAUAAAAAGGAAUGAAUUAACAGCAUUUGCAAUGACUUGGAUGAGAUUGGACAUAUUAUUCUAAAUGAAAUAACUCAGGAAUGGAAAACUGAACGUCAUAGAGCCAGCAUUUAAAGUGUAAAUGAUGGGCUACGGCUUUUUCUCCCUCCUCACUGCUAAGGUGGUAGCCUUUCUUCCACCCUGAACUACUUGCACCAAAAUGAAAGAAGUAACAUGGUCUGAAUUAUGGGUCACCAAUUCUUCUGAAGCUUACUGGUAUCUGCUUUCAACACGCUUAGGUAUCAGAAGAUGGGGACUCACUGAAGUAAAUUUCACUUAUUCCUAGGACAAGAAAUGGGAUCAGAUCUUGGGAGAGAUAGUUUCCUUUGUACUUGAGAAAGCCUGGAUGCCUCUUGGGAUAGUGUAGUGAAUUUUUGUAAUUUUGUGUUGCUUGACAUCAAUUUUAAAUACAAGUUUAACUUUCUCAGACCAGAAGCAGGGCUCAGUCACCCUUGACUCAGUUUCCACUUCUGCACCACACCCAAAAGGCUCAAGCUGGUGGCCAGAGAUAAGAACCUAGAGGCAUCUCUCCUACUUGGAAGACUGGGCUCCCGGCUUUCCCAUGGCUUCCUGUACAAGGAUCAUCAGGCAUUUGCUUGUGAACUUAGUGCCCCACACCCUAUUCCCUUGUUCGUGCUGCCAGUCACCAGGUGUGCUCUCUGCCUGAACUCUUCAUUCCUGCCUCUUCAUGUCUGCAAGACCCAGGGAUAUAGGACUGCUCUGCUGACUCAGUAUACCCUCCUUGCCCCGGUCUGUAAAGAAAAUAUUUGAACUUGUUUCCUGCUGUGGUGAUGUAAUGAAUGUGUACCUUCUAUCUGAAGAACUAGGGGCUACCACAGACUGGGUUUGCUCCAGGCUGCUGGGGAGAAAACAAGGUCAGGCUCCCAGCACCAGAGCAAUGGUCAGACAACCAUAAAUUGGACACGGGUCAGAUGAGAGUCACAAGGGCAUCUGCCAGUAUAAACAAGCUUCCCAUGUGAGGGACUCCUGGGCACAGAUUGGACAACUAGGCAUUAUACCAUCUGUCAAAUAAUAAAG
rnacentral:lncRNA from 1 species